CCAAGUAGCCUUGGCGGUACCUGUCAUUCCUUGCCCUUUGCGGCUGCAGACAACACGCCCUUGUGCAAUGUGUACUUCCACAUUGUCGGAGACGUAUGGUGAGGCAGAUUCCUAAAAUGGGAUUGCUUGGUGUAAGAUCUGCAUACAGAUCCCAGCCUGUUUCUCUACAAGUCCACCGUGACUGCGCUGGGCUCCGUCGGCAUUCGGGCGGCCCUGGACUUCCUGUUCCAUUCCUGGGCCGUGUCUGUUCUGGCCCCACACACGGAGUUAACGUGGAGGGCGUGCCCAGGACUGAAACUUGGCUGUUACUCCUGCUCAGGGUGCAGGGAAGGGAAAGAGCAGUGUAGAGGUGUCCUUCUUGCACUGGCUGCUUUUCAGGGGGUUCUUCCGUGAAGCACUGAAGGGUCUGAGAUUUCACCUACUUUGCAAGCUGAGAAGUGAGCCUGCCGCAGUUUCAGAAGACAAGCCCAGGGUCCGGGACAGACAGUGGACACCUCACAGCAGGAGCAGUAAGGACACAUCACCCAGGGGCUCUGCCAGGGCCAGCCCACACCUGCCUGCAUGGUUCAUGGAGAGGAGGGCUGGGGGGAGGGGACCAGGCACUUCUGUGCUGAGCAUGACCUUUGCCCCAGGGAAACACUAUGGUAAUUAAACUGGACAGGAGACAAACUUGCUCUCUGCUCCAGGGGGUGACACUGUUUCCAUCUUCUAAGGCGGUUCACGAGGAAAACGUCCUCAAAAGAACAGUCGGGAAACAAGGGGCGAGCCGCAGGCAGCGUCCCCCAGCUCUUCCCUCCAGCUGGCCCCUGGUCUACGGGGUGCGGGUCCCCGAACUCUCACCCCGCAAGCAGGGUGCCGCCGCCUCUGCCCGCCAGGCAGGCUCACGGGGUAGAAGUCUUCAGGGCAAGGUGGAGGGAGCUGCCUUCCAACUGAGGGGGCUGGGGGCAGCCUCGCCAGGGCUCAGAGCGCAAGGGUAAUGUCGGGGGCCACCUGUGCCCGCUUUUCUGAGCCGGGCUCUCUGUCCCAGCAGAGGUCACGGGUCACAGGCCGAGGACACAUUCCCUAUCUCUGCCUCCCCUUCUUUCUCAGCAGGGUCUCAGCGCAGAGUAGGGGGGGCACCCCCAAAGCAGCCCCCGGAUGACCAAACCAACCGGCUGGGUGCCUUGCGCUCAUGCUCUGAUUCUGUCACGCAAAUCUCCGCUGACCUUUUAGGGCCCGUGGGCCCCGAGCCAGCGCCCCGCCCACUUCCGGCCGCAGCCCGGGCCUCCGGGAGGCCCCCCCCCAACUCAC